UGUGUGUACGCUGUGUGUGUGUGUUGUGUGUGUACGCUACGUGUGUGUGUACGCUGUGUGUUUGUGUACGCUGUGUGUGUGUGUGUGUAUGGUGUGUGUGUGUGUGUUGUGUGUGUACGCUGCGUGUGUGUGUACGCUGUGUGUUUGUGUACGCUGUGUGUGUGUGUGUGUACGGUGUGUGUGUGUGUGUGUUGUGUGUAUGCUGUGUGUGUGUGUGUGUAAAAAAAUUUUUACUCUGUAAGUCUUAGAGCUUCUCCUGCAGUGCAUUAUGGGCCGUCAUUUGGAUUUAUGUGAGACACUGAAUGUCUUUUUUCCUUUGUGCAUGUGUGUGUGUGUGUGUUGUGUGUGUGUGUGUGCGUGGGGGGGGCGUUAUUGAUAGCACUAACCCUGUUUGUGUAUUGCUGCCUGUCAGAAGGAGGGAAAUGAACAGCGCGAGCUUGGCGGAGAUGAAACGUGUGUUUAAUUAUUAAUCGAGCCAUUACUGACAGAGACGGCCUUUUUCAUAUGAGACAGGAAACAGCUUCGGGGAGGGAAAAAAGCAAUUACACACUCGUGUGUUACAGUGGUAUAGGGAGACAUGGUUUGCUACGAUGUUAAUGUCCAAUCAGUCACUCGUUAUCAGAACAGUUCUAAUGUAGUCAGAUCCAGUUGACCAAUUCCAGACCCGCCUUAUUUUAUGCGCCGUCCAAUCACUGCAUAGCAACUGUUGCUACCCCUCAUUACCUCUGACAUGCUCCUGUUUCUGCCUCCGUUUCUGCUGUCAUCACGUCCUGAAGGGUAGAACGUGUGAAGGCAUUUAUUUAAAGCAUUUCUGCUUCCUUCUGUUUCUGUUCGUUCUUCUUCUCCUCUGUCUGCUUGCUUCCGUUUCUGUCUCUCCUUUUCUUUCCCUUUCAUUCCUCUUCCAGUCCUGUUCCCUUUAUUCCUCCUUUUCCAUUUCUGUUCUUUUGUGUAACUGAGCCUGCGAUUGGCUGAUGUCACUGUGAUUGACGGGAGGGCGGGGCAGUUGUUCUCUGUGUGAAGUGAGAGAUUAAGACUUGCUCCGUCUCCUGGACUCGGAGUUAAAUCCGUGAGACUGUUGUGGAAUUGCAGUGGGAUUUGUUGGGAUUUAUUGCAGCAGAGAGAAUAACACAUGCUUUCCUGUGUGUGUUUUCCUCCUCAGCAUGUGGUUAGUUGUUUGUUUGUGUGUGUGUGUGUGUGUGUGUGUGUGUGUGUGUGUGUGACCGCAAGUUAUGCUUUAAGUGCUGCACAUGAAAGUGCACUGCAUUAAACAUUGAAGAUGGACGCUGAUGCCUCGUGUCUCUGUGGCUUUCACAUUCGAGUGAAUCCGAAGCCAAGUGAUUGACUGCGUUACGUUUCUCUCUGAGUUUUCAUGACUUCACUUCCUGUUAAUGAAUCCUGAGGUGUGUGUGUGUGUGUGUGUGUGUGUGUCUUUAUUCGAACUGGCUGACGCUGACUCGGUGGAUUCUGAACAUCGUGCUGCAUUUUACUAGUUGGUUUAACAGCAAGGAGAAUUAGAAGUAAGGAAACGCUUUACAAGGAAGAAGAAAGAAAGGGAGGGAAAGAAAAAGAGAAAAAAGAGAAGAGGAAUAUAAUUAAGGAAGGGAUUAAAAUAAAUAAAAACAGGCAAGAAAAAGAUAUGAAUCUGAUCUGCACUUCGAGUCGUCACAGGUAACACCGGGUCCCGUUUCUGUUUUCCACCGUCUCGUGUUCGCACGUCUCCCCAGAGAGGGCACACUUCAUUGGGUUUCGGCCUCACACACACACACACACACACACACACACACACACACACACAUACGCACACACACUCUCCCACCCCGUCCCACUCUCCGACUCGACUGGCUGCUAGAAUAACACACACUCGGCGCCUGAAUGGGGCGGCACGCUGCAGACUCGGCACGCUGAGAGGCGGGAAAUUCACCGGUGGCCAAACGAAACAGCGGAACAGACGUCCGUCUGAGGAACGAGAGAGACCACACUGUGUGCUCACAUCCUUUCAUUUUCCUGAAAAAGUAGCUGCCUGUCGCCAUUAGCGUAACGGCGAGAUAAGCGUAACACACGAGCGCUCUCUCAGGACAGGAAUUUACGCCAUGUGCCUGCUCAUUUCAGGGCUAAUUAGCUUAGCCUCAGAGGGAAUAGCGCAACCAAAGCUAAUGGCCUGAAGGUAAACUGCUAGCACAGUCGCUAGAAAUGACUGCUAGUGCUAAGUGUAGAUUUGUAGUCCUGGAAUGAGUGAUGAAUGAUGGAGGAAUAAUAUUUGAGCGCUUUUUGGAUUAGCGUUUGCUAACUGAUUAGUGAGUAAAUGCACUUCUCAGACGUUAGAACCCCACGGUGGACCACGCUCGUUUAUACGACGCAGCGUUUCGUCUCUGUCAGGUCUCCAUGUGUGUUUUUCUUACUACUUAUUUUCUUCGGGUUCACGUUGCCAGAAUAAAUAAAAGCUGAAGCAGUGCAGAGCUCAGAGUGAGAAAAAAUAAACUUCAGGUUUAAUGGAUGGUGGCCAGGUAUGGCCAGGUGUGUGUUAUGUGUGUGUGUGUGUGUGUGUGUGUGAUAUUUUCAGUAGUGUGAUUGAUAGUAAACCUCUAACAGUAGGGUUGUUUUGCUGUACGUUAUUAUACCUUUUGUUCUAUAUACAGUAGCGUUUCCUAAAGGAAAAUUCCCCGCCCCUUCUUUGGUCCCACCCCUUCUUUGGUCCCACCCAUCCAUCUUAUCAAGGUAUCAUCACGUUCUCAUCAAAAACACACCAUUCAAUUAGGCCAGUACUGUAACAGGAACAUUUAGUAUCGGCUUAUAACUAUUUCUAAGGUUUAUGAAAAUAAAGUUUGAAAAUUUUGAUUCGAUUUGUUUAAAUUGUGUCUGCACGCUGGCAGGGUGAAUCUUUGAUCUCACAAUAAUUCGAUGUCCCAAUGACUCUUAAAAAGAUUUGAACUUCAGAUUUUGCGUUUUGAUUCAGUUCUGUUUGUAAAUGGAAAUGAUUUGUUUGGACGAAUCAGAUUUAAUUUGAUUCUUUAGCAAAUGCUUCAUUUUAACAAUUCAGAUCUCAGAUGUCAUUGAUUCGAAACGGUUCAGUGCCAUUUGGUUAUUUUAGUAAAAUUCAUUUAAAUGAUUCAUAUUUCUGCCUUGAUUUAAUUAGAAUAUUUCUUCAGACAUACAGUUUUCAUAAUGAUUUCGUCAUGAUUUUGUAAGAUCCAGAGUUUGACUGUCAGAAGUGAUCAUCUCUGACAUGACAAUUUGAUUCUUUAGGAAAUUAUUAGUUUGAUUAAAAUAAGUUUCCUUUAGUUUGAUUAGAGUCUGUACAGAAUUAUUUGUUUAAACAAUCUGGAUCUUAAAAUCUACAGUAUGAGUCGUUCUAAUGAAUCAAAUCUCUUUUCACUCUGAUUCGAUUGUUUUGGCUACGAUUCAGUUUUUUAUUUUAAAUCGUGACUGGUGGAGACUUGACACAAUCGUUUUUUCAGUUCUCGGUACUUGUGCACGUUACACAUUUACGUUACAUUUAUUUGUCAUUUUGCUGUAGUUUCGUUCAGAGCGUGUCACUAAUGUUAGUCGACUCUAACCACGAGCUACACUCUAUACAAUAUCGUUACAGCCGUUCCUAAUCGAUUUUCAGCUUCUCAGGUCGAUGUCGUGAAUCGGCCGCCUUCAGAUCGAUUCGCUUUUACAGCCCGGAUAAACGUGUCAAAUUUUCGCGCUGUUUAAAGCAGGUGCUCUGAGAGAACCACGUUUAGUGCCGGAUACUUCAGACAGAACAAACCAUCUGGGUCUCCUGUUUAAAGGAGCAUCUCGAGUGGUUUACCAAUAACUCGGCUCUUUACACACCUCUGUGUCUGAGUGUGGAGGGAAUCGGAAUUAGUUCAGUAAAGAAAAUGGGAAAAUUAAGCGGAUAGAUGAGCGCAGAUCCGUGUGUCAGGUGGAGAGACGAGCUGGAGAGGCUGCACCAGAGCUUUCAGGCAUAAUGUCAAAUGUUUCAGAGGAAAUUGGCUCAGUGAUUUGACUGCGUGUGUGUGUGUGUGUGUGUGUGUGCGUGUGUGUGUUUGUGUGUGUGUGUGUGUGUGUGUGUGUGUGUGUGUAAUGGGCAUUGCUGGAGCCAGAUAUUGCCAUCAUUAUUUUUAAUAUAUAUAUAUCUGAGCUAAUCUGAGCUAACCUGACAGGAUAAUUAUCUCCUCGAAAUCCUGUCAGGUUAGCUCAGAUUAGCCAGUUAGCAAGCAUUAGUAGUAAACAUUAUAAACAUUUAUGAAUAUGAUUUAAAAUCCUGGCAGAAAGCCAUUCAGUUUAGCGUCUGAUUGCCAACCAGCUAGCUCUCAGUGAGUAAUAUGAAUAUUUAUGAAUAUGAUUUUAAAAUCCUGUCAGGUUAGCUCAAAUUAGCCAGCUAGCUAGUAUUAGUAGUAAACAUUAUAAACAUUUAUGAAUAUGAUUUAAAAUCCUGUCAGAACUCCUGUCAGGUUAGUGAACAUUAGCAGGUUACCUAACAGUAGUAGUAAUUGGGGAUGCACUGAAAUUUUGUCCGCUGAAGAUUUCCUGCCGAAAAUGGCAUUUUCGGUUUUUGGCCAAAAAAGAAAAAAUUCCAAAAAUAUAUGCCCCCACACCCUGCCCCUUGAUCUAGCUGACGGUCAUCGUUGCAUUGCGACAUUACUAGAUCUACGAUUUAAAGAACAUUACUUUGAGGCGGAGUAAAAGCAGCGUGUACGGGGACUGAUCCAGGCGGAGCUGGAGGUGAUGACUGCAUCUGCUGAAGGUUCGACGCGCAGCACAGAGUAAAGUGUGCCAGAGAAACGGUGUGUACGAGUGAUGAGGCACAACCUCCCUCAGUUUCUCACAUGUUUGACGAGAUUCUAGAGGAAAACGUCUCGAUCCUCAGCAGUGCCACAACAAGCACAGCUACGCUUUCCAUUGCUUGUGCGGAUUGCACGCAGGUAUUUAUCUGCCCCAAGCACCAGCACAGAGAGUGAGAGAGGAUUCAGUGCAGCACCUCAUGUUCUUGAUGAGAAGAGGAACCUUCUCUCCUGCCAGAACGCAGAGGAACUUUUGCCCUUGAAGAGAAACCUGCCACCUUUACGUAAAUAGAAAGCAGUCCAAUUUGCUAUGUGUGUAACAUUUACGCCAAAAUUCGUGUAGCCCUGCAAAACUUUGUUCUCGACUGGAACAAUUUACACCAAUCAUCCUGUUCAAAAGUUUACACCCUCUUGGCACUUAAUGUAUGGUAUUGCCUUCUGGAGCGUCAGUGAAUGUUUGCACCUAAUGUAAUAGUCGUGUACGAGUCCCUCAGUCGUCCUCAGUGUGAAAAGAUGGAUCAUCAUAUAGCCGCUGUUGGAAAGGGUUCAAAUAUGCAGAAUAUGCUGGAAAAGUAAAGUAUGUACAGGACCUGGAGGAUCUUUCUGAAGAACAGUUUGGCAGUUUAACUGCUCAGGACAAACAAGGGACUCAUGAAGAAGUCUCACAAAACAAAAACACCGUCGUGUCGGGGAUCAUCCAGGUAACGACACACAGUAUUAAGAAUCAAGGGUGUGUAAACUUUUGAACGGCAUAAUUUUUAUAAAUUCAGCUUUGUCUUGUGGACUAUAUGUAAACAUCUGUUAUGUGAAAUAGCUUAUUCAGGGCAGAACUAAAUAAACAAAAACAUGGGAUUUUUAUGAUCGUUCUUAUUUUGUUAACAGUAAUAAGAUUUAGCAGAUUCUGCAAGGGGUGUGCAAACUUUUGGCACAACUGUAGAUCUGUUGUUAACAGUCUCAGGUUUGUUUUAGUUCUAUUGCUGCUGUUUUGAAUAUUAAUCUUUAAUUAAUGUGGAAAUACGUUUACAUAAACAGAAUAGAGGCCUAAUUCGUUACUACACUGUUGUUUUGUAUGUCAUAAUAGUUUUCUAGAACUUUACAUUUUUUGGAUAAUUGGAUUAAAAAAAUCAGUUAAAUUUGAUUGUUACAGAAUUGAAUGAAGAAUAAUAUGUUUAAAUAUUGUUUUUGUUUUGGUAUGUUAAUUUCAAUUAAAGUCUGAUCAUUUUA